rnacentral:tRNA from 1 species
GCCCGAGUUCAGGGUCUAGCUCAGUCGGCAGAGCAUGAGACUCUUAAUCUUAGGGUUGUGGGUUCGAGUCCCAUGUUGGGCA